AGUGGGAUAACUGGGUCAAAUGGUGGUUCCGUUCCAAGGAAUCUCCAUACUGCUUUCCAGAUUGGUUGCACCAAUUUGCAGUCCCACCAGCAAU
rnacentral:pre_miRNA from 1 species